AAUGGGCGAAAGCCUGACGGAGCAACGCCGCGUGAGGGAUGAAGGCCUCUGGGCUGUAAACCUCUUUUAUCAAAGAAGAAGAUCUGACGGUACUUGAUGAAUAAGCCCACGGCUAAUUCCGUGCCAGCAGCCGCGGUAAUACGGGAGUGGCAAGCGUUAUCCGGAAUUAUUGGGCGUAAAGCGUCCGCAGGCGGCCCUUCAAGUCUGCUGUUAAAAAGUGGAGCUUAACUCCAUCAUGGCAGUGGAAACUGUUGGGCUUGAGUGUGGUAGGGGCAGAGGGAAUUCCCGGUGUAGCGGUGAAAUGCGUAGAUAUCGGGAAGAACACCAGUGGCGAAGGCGCUCUGCUGGGCCAUCACUGACGCUCAUGGACGAAAGCGAGGGGAGCGAAAGGGAUU
rnacentral:rRNA from 1 species